AAAAAUAUGGAACGCUUCACGAAAUUGCAUGUCAUCCUUGCACAGGGGCCAUGCUAAUCUUCUCUGUAUCGUUCCAAUUUUAGUGUUUGUGCUGCUGAAGCGAGCAC
rnacentral:snRNA from 1 species